rnacentral:rRNA from 1 species
UACGGAGGGUGCAAGCGUUAUCCGGAUUCACUGGGUUUAAAGGGUGCGUAGGUGGGCAGGUAAGUCAGUGGUGAAAUCUCCGGGCUUAACCCGGAAACUGCCGUUGAUACUAUUUGUCUUGAAUAUUGUGGAGGUGAGCGGAAUAUGUCAUGUAGCGGUGAAAUGCUUAGAUAUGACAUAGAACACCAAUCGCGAAGGCAGCUCACUACACAGUUAUUGACGCUGAGGCACGAAAGCGUGGGGAUCAAACAGG